rnacentral:lncRNA from 1 species
CACUUCACAGGUCCUGUGCUGCAGAGCUGACCAUCACUGUAAACAAGCAAUGGAGGAAAUUGAUGAAUUUUCCGAAUCUCACAACCCAGUAGCUUCAACUAAUAAUUGCAUGGGUCCAAGGAGCUCUAAGAGGAGUUUCUCUUCAGCGGUUAUUCUCUCUGGGCCUUUUGAACAUUUUCCUGUUGGUUGGACUCAUCACCCUCAGUGUCUACUGUUCUCCUGUAAGGUGCACAAUCUUGAUGAAGCAUGUGAACACCACACAUAUGUCCUGGAGGGAAACACAGUGGGAGAACUGGGUUAAAAGUGUGUAAACUGUAAUGUUACCAAGCAGGCAAAGUGAGACAAGCUUUGUUAGAAGUGAGGGGGAAAAAACUACUAACCCCACAGUGAAAGUUGAGGCCCACUUCCUUCCUGAACAAAUGCGAUCAUUCAGAUUUCAAAUUUUUGCAUGGUUUCAUUUGAUACUCUCUUGCAGAUUAACACAACACGCAAACUAUUUCAGUCAGCCAACAUGCAGUUUGAUGUUGCAGUUUAAUCAUGGCAACUGGUUUUAAAGAUGAAGAGGUCAAAGAAAAACAGAUACAUGAAAAAAUGAACACUGAAGCAGUGCUCAAGCAGAAGAGCACAAAAAGAAACAGUACCUAUGAGACGCCUGAUGAGCCACAAUCUGACGCAAUGAAGAGGCUGAAAGUUUCGUGCUUUUAGUGCUGUGGCAGAUUAUAGCAUCCAAAUUUGGAAAUUUGGAGGACAAUUUUCAGUCUCUAGGGGAGAUUUGAAACAAUUUUGUGUUUCUCAGCUUUGAUUAGCUUGAUGCACAGACAAGGAGGGAUGAGUGUAAGACAAACUUACCUUUAGAGAACAGGCUGAUGAAUUUAAUGGCUAAAGCGAUUGAGAGCCUUUCAGAAGUCCCCAAAGAUGACCCAUUGGAGCUGCUCAUUUACCUCUCUCAAAUCAGAUCUGUGAGUUUAACCCAAACCAUUGAGAAGCCCUAUGGAUAGCCCGUACUCUCCCUGUGACUACUGCAUCUGCAGAACAGAGCUUUUCCAAACUGAAUUGAAUAAAGAUCUUUCAUGGCACAAGAAACACAGAGUGGUCUGGCAUUAAAUCAGUAUUAAUAACAUAAAAACUUGGUCAUCAGAUUUCUUACACUGAUGUAAUGAAUGGCUUGGCCUGUAGAAAAGCAAGGAAACACAGGUUUUAAGAAGAGAGUGGAGUAUUGAGGAAAAUGACAGAGUAACAUAAAAAGUCAAAUAUUUGAAUUAUAAUAGUUUUCUUUUCAUUUUGUUCUCCCCAAACUGUUUGCCGAUUUUUACAUAGUUUUUAUACAAAUUAUUUUACUUUAUAUUUGAUUUGAAAUCGUGUUUGUAUAUUGUUUCAGGCACCUCUAUUCAUUUAUAUCAUUAUUUAAGUGUUUGUCUGCUUAUUGUCUGUUUCCAUUUAUAUUCAUAUAGAAAACAUAACAAGAUUUUGUUUAUUAAAGGAAAGUGAUUAUAUUUGUUCUAGUUUUUGUUGUACAUUGUUGUCCCACUUGGUUUUUGUUUCACUUCCAAUUGUCCUUUUUUUUUUUUCUUUUUCUCUUUUUUUUUUUGCCGCCUGUUCCGUUUGGUUCUUUUGCCAUCACAAUUAUUGUCUAAAGGCCAAGACAGAUGCCCAACGGAUUUACUUUACCAAAUGGACCAUCCCGGCCUUGCUGUAUUGGUCCAUUUGACUGACUUUUGUUUUUAUUGUUUAUUUUAUUUUAUUUUCAUUUGCUACUCACAGGACAGACAUGACUGAGGGAAAGAAAAGGGAGAAAGAAAGAGGGAAAGAAAAACAGCGGGGAAGAGGAAGGGCACAAAACAAAAACAAACAAACAAACAAUAUAUGUGUAUAUAUAUAGAUAGAUAUAUACGUAUAUAUAUAUCACCUGUUGAGAAAGAAAAAAGAGAAAACAAGGAAAAAAAGAGAGCAAUAUAAUAAACAACAUCAUCGCGAUAAUCUAUGUGAAUAUAACUGUAAAUACUAAAUAUUGAAUAUUAUGCAGCACGUAGGAUCGACAGCACACAGUGUGCUUUGAGGUAGCAGCCAAAAAAGGUGUAGUUUGUGUCUGUGAGCACCCGUGUGUACACCUGUGAGCAUGAGCGCGCUUGUAUUUAAAAAGUUUCCUUCAUGUAACGAUCUGCUAGAGGGUGUGGGGGGCCACAGCCCCGUCCUCCAGGGCAUGAAGCAGGUAUGGAGGAGAUCAAAACUCCAGACAUCCAGAGGCCCCCAGAACACAAGAGACCAAGGAAGACCAACGGAGGGGCAGCUGCGCCACCAUCCCAGAAAGAGCUGAGGAGAGCCCCAGAUGAGGGGUCACUCAACAGCCGCAGAGCCGAAGCCAGAGGAGGUUGCAGUGACGUGCCCGUGAGCUCCGCCGGCAGCCAGCUGUGCCAGAGUGACCGAGUACCAGGCUGAGAGGCCGAGGCACCCCACCCCCCGAAGGGGCCCGAGCGAGCCUCAGGCUCCAGGCCCUGACAAGCAGCCACCAGGAGUGAGCCGGUGCGUACCUGAACGCCCAUCCCCGGACACCAAGAACCACCAAUGCACCGAUGUCUGAGUGUGUCUGCCACCAGCAGGGGGAGUGUUGGGGGGAGAUAGGCCUCCAUACCUUGGAAGGCCUGAGAUGUCCCUAGAGAGGUGGCGACUGAUACCCAACCUGACAUAGACACAGACAAACAUCCAUUCCCACCCUCAUGCUCUCAUAUGCAAUUACUCAGCACUCACCCAACGUGGAGAAAAACAUAAAUAGACACUGUACACACAAUCACACUCCCCAAGCGUACUCUAUACUCCAGGUCCAGGUACCCUUGCCCCUGGAGGGGGAAACUGCACCCAGACCCAGGUAGUGUUACCCUUUUCCCUGGGGUGGAGAGAAGCAGACCGCCCCGACUCCGCAUCGACUCCCAAUCGGACGGCCAACUCCUCCUCCCAGCCCCCACCCCAACAGGCAACAGAGAUUGUUCUGCUGUUCCUGUUUAUUUAAAGUACAAUAAUGAUAAAAUAAUAACAAUAAUAAUAAAGCAGUUUGCAUAUUUACAGUAAAUGCAUUUUAUGUAUUCUAUUUUUAGUGGGCCUAUGACAUCCAGUAUCCCAAUUAGUACUAUAUCACUUUCAAUAUUGAGUGUAAAUGAACCCCAGGUCACAUUUGUGGGUGACUUUUACUACCAUUUCAUAGAUGGGUAAAAAUAUGUUGUGCUGACAAUGGGAUGGUGCUACAAACCUGUUUCAGAUCUGCUUCCUUGCUUUAUCAGCAUGGGUUACAUCUAACAGCAACAAACAGUUCUCACAUGUAGUUUUACAAGUGUAUGUUUACUGAAAGUUUAGACAAUAAAAUAUGUUUUUGGUAAGUGUGAGAAUGAUCAUAAUCAUUCACAGUAAUAGAGGGCUCCAAAAAACUGCCCCGAAACUCUUGGCCGGCCUCCCUGCCACGUAGCAAAGUGAAGCUACACAGCUUAAUCAAUGCGUCCUCCCACUAUUCUUGCUUCAGUGUAUCAUCCACCCUUCAGUGUAUCAUCCACCCUUCAGUGUAUCAUCCACCCUUCAGUGUGUCAUUCACCGGACAAGGUAAAUGAUAGUCUUGAGACAGAUUUCUUUUCAGGUCUGUAGCAAUUUUAUUUUCCUGCUCACUCUGAAGGCCAUAUGCUUUUCUUGUUCUGUUGUUCUAGUGUUACUCCUCAGAACUGUAUAGCAUCAGAUCUUCUCAUAGCUGUCCAUAAGUGGGGAACUUGUCAGUAUAAUAUAUGCUUAAUUGAAAUCUCUUUGUGUUAUUUUAUAUCUCAAAAGUAACUAACUAACAACUGCAAUUAUUAUAGUUCAUUAUAGAGCUCAUUAGUUCAUUGCUAUAGAAAGAUACCAAUAUCUUAUCAAUAAAUUAUCGACCGCUUUAAGAAUAAAGUCAGAAUUUUGAGAUUAAAGUCAUAACUCUAUUUUGAGAAAAAAGUCGAAAUAUGGAGAUUACACAUUUACACAUAAGACUCUGAGUUAGUGAAAUCAUACUUUCAAAUCAGUUUUAGUUACAAGGAAGGAAAUGAUUUAUCUUUUAGCACAUAAACACAGUGUGCUGAUAUGAAUAUAAGGACGUUGGAAAGAUGGGGCAGAAAGCUGUAUUUGGUAAGACGGAAAAACACAAACUCAGAAGAGUGGAUUUGUGCAAAAUGAAAGUGCUGGAAUUGGACAGAUGCAAGUUUAUGCAAGGUUACGCUCUUGUGCAACAAAGAGGAUGUACGUUGUAUCACAAGAUGGCUGAUCAUUUUGUUUCAAUAACUCGUCUACAGAAGUUAUUUUGUACAGGAUAUAGCAAAAGUGGGACUUUGUCUUAAAAUAACACCAGUAACCUCCACAUUUGUAGUUUUUUCUCAAAACACAUUUUCGACUUUAAUUUUCAAAAUAAUCAACAAUUAAUUUUUUUCUUUAUGUGGUCGUAUAUAUCUGCACAAAUAUGUGAAAUGUGUGACUUCCUUUGAAUUAAAAAAAUACUAA